UACGAAAGGGGCUAGCGUUGCUCGGAAUCACUGGGCGUAAAGGGUGCGUAGGCGGGUCUUUAAGUCAGGGGUGAAAUCCUGGAGCUCAACUCCAGAACUGCCUUUGAUACUGAGGAUCUUGAGUUCGGGAGAGGUGAGUGGAACUGCGAGUGUAGAGGUGAAAUUCGUAGAUAUUCGCAAGAACACCAGUGGCGAAGGCGGCUCACUGGCCCGAUACUGACGCUGAGGCACGAAAGCGUGGGGAGCAAACAGG
rnacentral:rRNA from 1 species